AGUGAACGCUGGCGGUAGGCCUAACACAUGCAAGUCGAACGGCAGCACAGUAAGAGCUUGCUCUUACGGGUGGCGAGUGGCGGACGGGUGAGGAAUACAUCGGAACCUACUUUUUCGUGGGGGAUAACGUAGGGAAACUUACGCUAAUACCGCAUACGACCUACGGGUGAAAGCAGGGGAUCUUCGGACCUUGCGCGAUUGAAUGAGCCGCUGUCGGAUUCGCUAGUUGGCGGGGUAAAGGCCCACCAAGGCGACGAUCCGUAGCUGGUCUGAGAGGAUGAUCACCCCCACUGGAACUGAGACGCGGUCCAGACCCACAAGGGAGGCAGGAGUGGGGAAUAUUGGCCGAUGGGGGCGAGCGUGAGCCAGCGAUACCGAUGGGGUGAAGAAGGCUGGCGGGUUUGAAAGGCUCUUUGUUGGGACAGCAAAGCAGUCUGUUGAGCCCGCGCUGUUCUGACGGUACCCAGAGAAUGAGCACCGGCUAACUUCGUG
rnacentral:rRNA from 1 species